CGAAUUGAGGUUGAAGCAUUGUGGCUUUCGUGCAAUAUACAGUCAGGAUGUUGAUGAGAUGGUUUUGUGUGGCAAACCUUCUGAGAAUUUGGGUCUUCCCUGUAAUCAUAACGUUGACAAAAGCAAGAGAAGCAAUAGAGUGGAAUCCAAUGAAAGUGGCAACUUGACUGAUAGAUUGCCUUCCAAGAGACCGAGGAUGCUUGUGGAUCCUGAUACUGAAACUCAUGGC
rnacentral:misc_RNA from 1 species